rnacentral:rRNA from 1 species
CUGCGGAAGGAUCAUUAACGAAUAUAAUUCGAGGGGUUGUCGCUGGCCUCGCUCGCGCGAGGCAUGUGCACGCUUCUCGUUUUUCUCUCAACUCACCUGUGCACCUAAUGUAGGAUGCCUCUCCUCCGGGAGGGGGGACCUAUGUCUUCGUAACAUCUUCGUGUAGAAAGUCUUUGAAUGUUUACUAUCAUCGAGUCGCGACUUCUAGGAGACGCGGUUCUUUGAGAUAAAAGUUAUUACAACUUUCAGCAACGGAUCUCUUGGCUCUCGCAUCGAUGAAGAACGCAGCGAAAAGCGAUAUGUAAUGUGAAUUGCAGAUCUACAGUGAAUCAUCGAAUCUUUGAACGCACCUUGCGCUCCUCGGUGUUCCGAGGAGCAUGCCUGUUUGAGUGUCAGUAAAUUCUCAACCCCUCUCGAUUAGCUUCGAGAGGGCGCUUGGAUAGUGGAGGUUGCCGGAGACUUGGAUUCGUCCGAGACUCGGGCUCUUCUGAAAUGCAUCGGCUUGCGGUCGACUUUCGACUAUGUGCGACAAGGCUUUCGGCGUGAUAAUGAUCGCCGUUCGCUGAAGCGCAUGACUGAACGUCCCGUGCCUCUAAUAUGUCGACCGCUUAUUAUCUCUCCGGAGAGAACAGGGUCUUCCUUAUUGACUUUUGACCUCAAAUCAGGUAGGACUACCCGCUGAACUUAAGCAUAUCAAUA